rnacentral:rRNA from 1 species
GAUGAACGCUGGCGGCGUGCUUAACACAUGCAAGUCGAACGAGAAUCAACGGAUUGAGGAUUCGUCCAAAUGAAGUUGAGGAAAGUGGCGGACGGGUGAGUAACGCGUGAGGAACCUGCCUCGGAGUGGGGAAUAACAGUUGGAAACAGCUGCUAAUACCGCAUAAUGCAACGGAAUCGCAUGACUCUGUUGCCAAAGAUUUUAUCGCUUGAAGAUGGACUCGCGUCCGAUUAGCCAGUUGGCGGGGUAACGGCCCACCAAAGCGACGAUCGGUAGCCGGACUGAGAGGUUGAACGGCCACAUUGGGACUGAGACACGGCCCAG